rnacentral:lncRNA from 1 species
CAUCGUUCCAACAUCCCUAUCAGAGAACCCAAGCCUAACCCUAGCUGAGCCGCCCCAAAAUCCACCACCAUCCGGUGGCGGCGCCACCUCCAAACGCCACCAAAACAACACCUCAUGACCCCCUCACUCCCCUCUUUCUAAAUCCCGGACCAAUUUCCUUCGAAUCUGCCCGGAGCUCCGCGAAUCUUGAAUCUGAGGUCAAUCCCAAAAGUUCUAAACCACUUUUUCGUCAAUCCUGGUACAUGCAUGGUCAGAAGGCACCGUUCUUUGAGUUUUUAAGUUCGGAUUCAAACGAUCGACCUUAGUUUGGUUAGGGCUUUUGUCUCCGAUGGAUUUCGAGUCUAAAUCGGUAAGAUCUUUUCUUCUCUUGUCUUCUCUUAUUUUUUGAUUGUAUUAUUCUCUUCUUCCUCCCAUUUUCUUUAGCUUAAUCUUCUUAUAACAGUCUGGUGGAAACUCGACUAAUCUCUCGAGUUUAGAUUGGUCUUCCAGUCAUUGUCCUUCUCUUCUUCGUGGAAGUUUGUUUUCUGAUAUCUUUAGUCUGUUGUGUUAAUAGCAUGGAUAACUCUCCGAUCUUGUUUUCUGUUUAGCCAUACAAGUUAUUUUAAAAUUAAGUUACUUCAAUUGAUUUAAAUCCUUGCCUAGUCAUCGUUAAUUGAUCAGUAAGUUAGUAGAUUUGCUUUGAAAUCAUUGCUUGUUAUCAUGGCCUGCAGAUUUUUCUUUUCAAAUAGAUAAGUGUUCGUCUGGGCUUUGGUUUGUCUUUGGUCCAUUUGGCAAAAAGCAGCCCAUCCAAAUUGGUUUGGGUUCUUGGGGUAAAUUCACUCGUGGGUUAAUUUGACCCAUGUCUCAUUUGGGGUUUAAGGUAAAUAACAGGGGUAUGGGGGUUAGUUUGGGUAGUCUUAGUGAGGGAAUCUAUUUGUAAUUGUCUGGGAAGCUUCUAGGAAGCUAGGGAGGGGACUACUUUGCAAAAACUGAAUUUAAAUUAGGGGUGUUUAAGCUAAAAUAGAAACUAAAAAGGGACUGAAUGGCAAAAACGUAUCUCCUUGGGUCUGCCCUAUUUGCUUGCCUAUAAAGGCAUCUCUUCCUUGUCAUUCAAGGCAGAAUUAGAAGACCUAAGAGCUGAAAUUCAAAAAAAAAAACUGAAAAUCACUGUUGCAUUAAAAUACUGAUUAGAACUUUUGGAGUUUGUUUCUUUUACUGCUGAAAGAAUACCUGAUCCUAUCUGAGGUUCAAAAUGGUUUGAACAUUGGGUAAUGAAAGCCUUGCUUUGAGCUGGGGAAUUGGUUCCUCUCUUCUGGACUGAUUUCGUUGCUGUUUUGUUAAAUCUGGGUGAAUUCCUAUUGUUGCUGCCUACUGAUCAUUUAUUGCUUUCCCCUUGUUCCCAGGUACUCAUUCGACCUCAAAUGACAUGUUGAAAUGGGAAUGGGAAUGUUGAUGAUACCAUGUUUUAUGGCAGUCUAUUUCUGAUUAUUAGGUUCUGAACUCAUGUGUGCCUUGUUAAUUAACUUGUGGCUAUUUACCUCUUCCAGAUUUUGGUUUAAGUGUUUGAACAAAGUUAUUGAAUGUUACUGUAUUUUGUUAGCUGAUUCGAAUGGUUGUAAUACUCUAUUGAAGCCCCUAUUUAGUUUCAGUGUUGAUUAGUAGUAAUUCUGAUUUUAUGAUGUAUAAGAUUGGUUGUUCUUUGAGCAUGAAGUGCGCUAUGUUACAAUACAGGAAAGUCUCUUACUUGAUUUAAGUGAAAUCAGCCCAUGUUUGUUUUCUUUUCCAGGUUUAUAGUUAGGCAGC